UGAGUAACGCGUGAGGAACCUGCCCUUCAGAGGGGGACAACAGUUGGAAACGACUGCUAAUACCGCAUGAUACAUUUGAAUCGCAUGGUUUGAAUGUCAAAGAUUUAUCGCUGAAGGAUGGCCUCGCGUCUGAUUAGCUAGUUGGUGGGGUAACGGCCCACCAAGGCGACGAUCAGUAGCCGGACUGAGAGGUUGGCCGGCCACAUUGGGACUGAGAUACGGCCCAGACUCCUACGGAAGGCAGCAG
rnacentral:rRNA from 1 species